CAAUAGCGUAUAUUUAAGUUGCUGCAGUUAAAAAGCUCGUAGUUGGAUUUCGGGUGGGAAUGGCCGGUCCGCCGUUUCGGUGUGCACUUGCUACGCCCACCUUGCUGCCGGGGACGUGCUCUUGAGUUCACGCUCGGGACACGGAGUCGGCGAGGUUACUUUGAGUAAAUUAGAGUGUUCAAAGCAGGCCUACGCUCUGAAUACAUUAGCAUGGAAUAACACGAUAGGACUCUGGCCUAUCUUGUUGGUCUGUAGGACCGGAGUAAUGAUUAAGAGGACAGUCGGGGGCAUUCGUAUUUCAUUGUCAGAGGUGAAAUUCUUGGAUUUAUGAAAGACGAACUACUGCGAAAGCAUUUGCCAAGGAUGUUUUCAUUAA
rnacentral:rRNA from 1 species